AUUGAACGCUGGCGGCAUGCUUUACACAUGCCAGUCGAACGGCAGCGCGGGCUUCGGCCUGGCGGCGAGUGGCGAACGGGUGAGUAAUACAUCGGAACGUGCCCAGUAGUGGGGGAUAGCUCGGCGAAAGCCGGAUUAAUACCGCAUACGACCUGAGGGUGAAAGCGGGGGAUCUUCGGACCUCUCGCUAUUGGGGCGGCCGAUGGCAGAUUAGCUAGUUGGUGGGGUAAAGGCCUACCAAGGCGACGAUCUGUAGCUGGUCUGAGAGGACGACCAGCCACACUGGGACUGAGACACGGCCCAGACUCCUACGGGAGGCAGCAGUGGGGAAUUUUGGACAAUGGGCGAAAGCCUGAUCCAGCAAUGCCGCGUGUGUGAUGAAGGCCUUCGGGUUGUAAAGCACUUUUGGCGGGAACGAAAAGGACUGUGCCAAUACCACGGUUCGAUGACGGUACCCGCAGAAUAAGCACCGGCUAACUACGUG
rnacentral:rRNA from 1 species